AAUCAAGCCUGGGCAAUGGCGGGCGCCCCUCCCCCAGCCUCGCUGCCGCCUUGCAGUUUGAUCUCAGACUGCUGUGCUAGCAAUCAGCGAGACUCCCUGGGCAUAGGACCCUACGAGCCAGGUGCGGGAUAUAAUCUCGUGUUGCACCGUUUUUUAAGCCUGUCGGAAAAGCGCAGUAUUCUGGUGGGAGUGACCCGAUUUUCCAGGUGCCGUCCAUCACUCCUUUCUUUGACUCAGAAAGGGAACUCCCUGACCCCUUGCGCUUCCCAAGUGAGGCAAUGCCUCGCCCUGCUUCGGCUCGCGCACGGUGCACGCACCCACUGACCUGCGCCCACUGUCUGGCACUCCCUAGUGAGAUGAACCCGGUACCUCAGAUGGAAAUGCAGAAAUCACCCGUCUUCUGCGUCGCUCACGCUGGGAGCUGUAGACCGGAGCUGUUCCUAUUCGGCCAUCUUGGCUCCUCCCUCUGAAGGCUACAGACACUUAUUGAGCAUCUACUAGAUGCCAAAUUCUGUGCUGCUGCUACAAUCCAUUGAGACUUUAACACCCACAUGG
rnacentral:lncRNA from 10 species